rnacentral:rRNA from 1 species
GGAGGGUGCGAGCGUUGUUCGGAAUUACUGGGCGUAAAGCGCGUGUAGGCGGCCUUGCAAGUCAGGCGUGAAAGCCCUCGGCUUAACCGGGGAAGUGCGUCUGAAACUGCUUGGCUUGAGUAUGGGAGAGGGAGGCGGAAUUCCCAGUGUAGAGGUGAAAUUCGUAGAUAUUGGGAGGAACACCGGUGGCGAAAGCGGCCUCCUGGACCGAUACUGACGCUGAGACGCGAAAGCGUGGGGAGCAAACAGGAUUAGAUACCCUGGUAGUCCACGCGGUAAACGAUGGGCACUAGGUGUGGGGGGUAUCCACUCCUCCCGUGCCGAAGCUAACGCAUUAAGUGCCCCGCCUGGGGAGUACGGCCGCAAGGUUA